AAACAUUUUUUUACAAAUAAUUUAAAAUAAAACCUGCUCAAUGAAUAUUUAAAUAGCCGCAGUAAUUUAACUGUGCUAAGGUAGCAUAAUCAUUAGUCUCUUAAUUAGGGACCAGAAUGAACGGUUUAACAUUCUUUUCACUUUUUUAAAUAUAUUUAUAUAAAUUAUACUAAAUAUAAAAAUAUAUUUAUUUAAAAACUAGACGACAAGACCCUUUCAAACUUUACUUAAGUUAAGCUGGGGAAGCUAUUUAAUUAAAAUCUUAAAAAAUUAAUAAAUAAACAGACCUAGAAAAACUAAUUUUUUGAAAAAGUUACUGAAGGGAUAACAGCAUAAUAUAUUUAUAUAGCUCGUAUUUAAAAAUUAGUUUAUGACCUCGAUGUUGAAUUAUUUUACUUUUAAGCGCAAGAGUCUAAAAAGUAGGUCUGUUCGACCUUUAAAUAUUUACAUGAUCUGAGU
rnacentral:rRNA from 1 species